CGUAUUGGGUGACUGCGGAGGAUCAUUAACGAGUCUUGAAGGGUUGUAGCUGGCCUCCCGAGGCACGUGCACGCCCGCUCAUCCACUCUACACCUGUGAACUAUUGUAGGUCGGUUUAACGGGGCCCCUCUCGGGCUUCCGCGGCCGUCCUAUGUAACACCACACACCAUGCAGUAUCAGAAUGUCUUUGCGAUAAUACGCAUCUUAUACAACUUUCAGCAACGGAUCUCUUGGCUCUCGCAUCGAUGAAGAACGCAGCGAAAUGCGAUAAGUAAUGUGAAUUGCAGAAUUCAGUGAAUCAUCGAAUCUUUGAACGCACCUUGCGCUCCUCGGUAUUCCGUGGAGCAUGCCUGUUUGAGUGUCAUGAAAUCCUCAAUCCCCCAUCCCUUGCGGAGGGCGGGCUUGGACUUGGAGGCUUGCCGGCCGUGAGGUCGGCUCCUCUCAAAUGCAUUAGCUCGGUUCCUUGCGGAUCGGCUCCCGACGUGAUAAUUGUCUACGUCGCGACCGUGAAGCGUCUGGCGAGCUUCCAACCGUCCUUCGGGACAGCUUUCUUGAUCUGACCUCAAAUCAGGUAGGACUACCCGCUGAACUUAAGCAUAUCUAAAAGCGGGAAGGAA
rnacentral:rRNA from 1 species